rnacentral:rRNA from 1 species
AAAUUGAAGAGUUUGAUCAUGGCUCAGAUUGAACGCUGGCGGCAGGCCUAACACAUGCAAGUCGAACGGUAACAGGAAUCAGCUUGCUGAUUCGCUGACGAGUGGCGGACGGGUGAGUAAUGUCUGGGAAACUGCCUGAUGGAGGGGGAUAACUACUGGAAACGGUAGCUAAUACCGCAUAAUGUCGCAAGACCAAAGAGGGGGACCUUCGGGCCUCUUGCCAUCGGAUGUGCCCAGAUGGGAUUAGCUAGUAGGUGGGGUAACGGCUCACCUAGGCGACGAUCCCUAGCUGGUCUGAGAGGAUGACCAGCCACACUGGAACUGAGACACGGUCCAGACUCCUACGGGAGGCAGCAGUGGGGAAUAUUGCACAAUGGGCGCAAGCCUGAUGCAGCCAUGCCGCGUGUAUGAAGAAGGCCUUCGGGUUGUAAAGUACUUUCAGCGGGGAGGAAGGGAGUAAAG